UGCUUAAAAUGCAAACAUUCCCAAGUCCUGGCUCAGCUUCCCCCCUCCCCAUCCGUGUGCCUGAGGAGCAGUAAUUGUGCGGGGAUGCAAGUGCUCAUUACACGAACAGAGGGCAGCGUGGGACAUAAAUCUAGAAAAUUGAAAGAUUGGCCCCUUCCAGGAACGGGAACCAUGGUCACCAGCAACUCCUGCCUCACGUGUUCCCUGAUUCAUCGUCUUCCUUUGGUUCUGAUUGGCCAAACCUCAGGGGGUGACUUAUCCUCUGGAGUUGGGUUAUGCCCUGCCCAUGUGGCCAGGGGGCGGGAGCAUCCUCUGACAGCCAGGGCUGCAUGCUGGCCUGGGGGGAGGAGGGUUCUCCAGAUGAAGGGCUUUCUCUUAGGGAGGCAUAGAUGGGCACUGAGCAGACACAACAAUAUGCAUCUGCCACGGCCACGGUUGUGUGUGACAGUGUCCCUUUGGUACAAGGGCCCCCGCCAUUUCUCAGAUUCACGAGCUGACCUUCAGGGCCCAGGUUAGCAACCUUCGUCCCCACCUCCCUUUCUGAAAUGAAGGGGUAGCAUCCCAGGAGGACGACAACCUGCCUCUCCACCUUAAGUCGCCCUCCCCUCUGAUCCCGUCAUGUGAUGAAGGGGUCACCACGAGCUACAGUCUUAGCUGGAGGGCAUGAGAGGAGAGGAGAGGCCUGACUACCUCACUGAGGUCUCAAUUAAGAUCGGCAAUAAGGAAUCAUUACAAAUGCUCUGCUCAAGAUGCAUUGUAAAGAGUGAUUCACUCUGUGCCCAUUUCCUGCUAGCCCUGAAAGCUAAGCAGGGGCUGCCUGUGCUGCAAUAAAUGUCACUAUAUGAACACUA